rnacentral:misc_RNA from 1 species
AAGUCGUAACAAGGUCUCCGUUGGUGAACCAGCGGAGGGAUCAUUACUGAGUUAUUAAAACUCCAAACCCUUUGUGAACCUUACUGUCGUUGCCUCGGCGUGAGCUACGGCUACCCUGUAGUUACCCUAUAGCUACCCUGCAGCUACCCUAUAGUUGACCAGUAGCUACCCUGUAGUUACCCUAUAGCUACCCUGCAGCUACCCUAUAGUUGACAUGUAGCUACCCUGUAGCCGGCUUAUGGCCCGCCGAAGGACCGCUAAACUCUUGUUUUUUACCACUGUUUCUCUGAAUUGUAAACUUAAAUAAGUUAAAACUUUCAACAACGGAUCUCUUGGUUCUG